UAACGCGUGGGUAACCUGCCUCNCNCUGGGGGAUAACAGUUAGAAAUAGCUGCUAAUACCGCAUAAGCGCACGGUUCCGCAUGGAACAGUGUGAAAAACUCCGGUGGUGUGAGAUGGACCCGCGUCUGAUUAGCCAGUUGGCGGGGUAACGGCCCACCAAAGCGACGAUCAGUAGCCGGCCUGAGAGGGUGAACGGCCACAUUGGGACUGAGACACGGCCCAAACUCCUACGGGAGGCAGCAGUGGGGAAUAUUGCACAAUGGGGGAAACCCUGAUGCAGCGACGCCGCGUGAGUGAAGAAGUAUUUCGGUAUGUAAAGCUCUAUCAGCAGGGAAGAAAGUGACGGUACCUGAAUAAGAAGCCCCGGCUGACUACGUGCCAGCAGCCGCGGUAAUACGUAGGGGGCAAGCGUUAUUCGGAUUUACUGGGUGUAAAGGGAGCGUAGACGGCAAGGCAAGUCUGAAGUGAAAGCCCGGUGCUUAACGCCGGGACUGCUUUGGAAACUGUUUAGCUGGAGUGCCGGAGAGGUAAGCGGAAUUCCUAGUGUAGCGGUGAAAUGCGUAGAUAUUAGGAAGAACACCAGUGGCGAAGGCGGCUUACUGGACGGUAACUGACGUUGAGGCUCGAAAGCGUGGGGAGCAAACAGGAUUAGAUACCCUGGUAGUCCACGCCGUAAACGAUGAUUGCUAGGUGU
rnacentral:rRNA from 1 species